rfam:Schistosoma rodhaini strain Burundi genome assembly, scaffold: SROB_scaffold0001598
AUCCGGUUGGCGAGUCCCAAAUAGGACGAAACGUACGUCCUGGAU